CAGGACCCUGAGAUCACUACCUGAGCCAAAAUCAAGAAUCGGCUGCUUAACCAACUGAGCCACCCCGGUGCCCUCUCCGUGGAUUUAAGAGCAGCCCCAGGAGCCUGUAUUCUUUGGUUACCCUUAUAGGUAGAGAGAGAUUUGGACACAGGAAGAUGGCCAUGUGAAAACAGGCACAGAAAAUGGAGUGAUGCAGCCAUGAGCCAAAGGAUGCCAGGGAUUGAUGGGAGCCACCAGAACCUAUGAAAAGGGAAGGAAGUAUUCUCCCCUAAAGUCUUCAGAGGGAGCAUGGCCCUGCUGAUACCCUGAUUUUAGACUUUAGCCUUCAGACCUAUGAGGAAAUAAAUUCCUACUAUUUUAAGCCA